UCAUCAUCUUUGACAGGGCUUGGAGCCUUU
rnacentral:sRNA from 1 species